GGCGAGCGAAAGCGGAUGGUGGCUAAACCGUGUCCGUGUCAAGCCGGCAGGUGUUGCGGAUGCGGGGUUGUGGGAUGUUGUCGUCGAUCUUCUGCCGAGGGUCGGACGGUCUUGUGUGUGUGUUAGCGGAACAUCUCUGGGAUGGAUGGCCGUAGUGGGUGAGAGCCCCGUACGCGAAAACAUGCGCCGAGUCGUGGACAGCACUCCCGAGUAGCAGCGAGCUCGU
rnacentral:rRNA from 1 species